AUUGAACGCUGGCGGCAGGCCUAACACAUGCAAGUCGAGCGGAUGAAGGGAGCUUGCUCCUGGAUUCAGCGGCGGACGGGUGAGUAAUGCCUAGGAAUCUGCCUGGUAGUGGGGGAUAACGUCCGGAAACGGGCGCUAAUACCGCAUACGUCCUGAGGGAGAAAGUGGGGGAUCUUCGGACCUCACGCUAUCAGAUGAGCCUAGGUCGGAUUAGCUAGUUGGUGGGGAAAAGGCCUACCAAGGCGACGAUCCGUAACUGGUCUGAGGGGAUGAUCAGUCACACUGGAACUGAGACACGGUCCAGACUCCUACGGGAGGCAGCAGUGGGGAAUAUUGGACGAUGGGCGAAAGCCUGAUCCAGCCAUGCCGCGUGUGUGAAGAAGGUCUUCGGAUUGUAAAGCACUUUAAGUUGGGAGGAAGGGCAGUAAGUUAAUACCUUGCUGUUUUGACGUUACCAACAGAAUAAGCACCGGCUAACUUCGU
rnacentral:rRNA from 1 species